CAAAUGAAGUUGAGUUUGGAC
rnacentral:miRNA from 1 species